GCCGACGAGUUCACGGCCGUGCACAUCGACGCGGGUGUGCCCGUGACUACGACCUACUCCGUGUCGCUGGACACGGUGACGCCUCCAAGCACACCAGCAACACCUACUGCACCAAGCCCACCGAGAGGACCAAGCUCACCGCGGACGCCCGUGUCCAGCGGAACCGAUGUGAGCUCACCGUGGGCAUCGAACACGCAGUCGUCAGAAGGACCUACCUCGCUCACUCCGGCAACUCCCGACGACUCAGAUGACGGGUGGGUGACUCCACCUACCGGUGAGGACUACGACACAGAGGGGGUGCCCGUCCGUUUCAAAUCGAUGGAAUAUGUGAUCGAC
rnacentral:lncRNA from 1 species